rnacentral:misc_RNA from 1 species
GAUGAAGAACGCAGCGAAAUGCGAUAAGUAGUGUGAAUUGCAGAAUUCAGUGAAUCAUCGAAUCUUUGAACGCACAUUGCGCCCCUUGGUAUUCCAUGGGGCAUGCCUGUUCGAGCGUCAUUUGUACCUUCAAGCUCUGCUUGGUGUUGGGUGUUUGUCUCGCCUCUGCGUGUAGACUCGCCUCAAAACAAUUGGCAGCCGGCGUAUUGAUUUCGGAGCGCAGUACAUCUCGCGCUUUGCACUCAUAACGACGACGUCCAAAAGUACAUUUUUACACUCUUGACCUCGGAUCAGGUAGGGAUUCCCGCUGAACUUAAGCAUAUCAAUAAGCGGAGGA